CCUACGGGAGGCAGCAGUGGGGAAUAUUGGGCAAUGGGCGCAAGCCUGACCCAGCAACGCCGCGUGAAGGAAGAAGGCUUUCGGGUUGUAAACUUCUUUUGUCAGGGAAGAGUAGAAGACGGUACCUGACGAAUAAGCCACGGCUCACUACGUGCCAGCAGCCGCGGUCAUACGUAGGUGGCAAGCGUUGUCCGGAUUUACUGGGGGUAAAGGGCGUGUAGGCGGGUUGACAAGUCAGAUGUGAAAUCCUGCGGCUUAACCGCAGAACUGCAGUUGAAACUGUUGAUCUUGAGUACGGGAGAGGCAGAUGGAAUGCCUAGUGUAGCGGUGAAAUGCGUAGAUAUUAGGAGGAACACCAGUGGCGAAGGCGGCCUGCUGGACCGCAACUGACGGUGAGGCGCGAAAGCGUGGGGAGCAAACAGGAUUAGAUACCCCGGUAGUC
rnacentral:rRNA from 1 species